rnacentral:rRNA from 1 species
UACGUAGGGUGCAGGCGUUAAUCGGAAUUACUGGGCGUAAAGCGUGCGCAGGCGGUCUCUUAAGUCAGGUGUGAAAUCCCCGGGCUUAACCUGGGAACUGCGCUUGUAACUGAGAGGCUAGAGUGUGGCAGAGGGGGGUGGAAUUCCACGUGUAGCAGUGAAAUGCGUAGAGAUGUGGAGGAACACCGAUGGCGAAGGCAGCCCCCUGGGCUAACACUGACGCUCAUGCACGAAAGCGUGGGGAGCAAACAGG